rnacentral:lncRNA from 1 species
UUUCCUCCAUAUUUAUGUACUUCUCAGCUCGGGUAAGAAGCUCGGUGACUGUCUUCGGCGGAGUUUUGGAUAAGGACAUCUUGAAAGCCUCGCACUUUAUGGCAUAUGUGAGGGCAGAAACUGCUGCAGUUAUGUGUAGGUCGGGAAUCUGAAGUCUUUCCUUGUUGAACCUGGUCAUGAAGUCACGUAGGGUCUCAUUUUGCCCUUGUCUAAGUUGCAUGAGGGAAGCUGCUGUCUUCCUGAUGCGUUUGCUGCUUGCGAAGAAAGCGGAGAACUUGUCCGCCAAAUCCGAGAAUGAGGCUAUGGAGUUGGACUCUAAGGUCGAGAACCAAUCCCUAGCAGCAUUCGUCAAAGUUUGCG